CGUAGGUAACCUACCCCUUAGCGGGGGAUAACUAUUGGAAACGAUAGCUAAUACCGCAUAAAAGUCGGCAUUGCAUGAUGUUGACUUGAAAGGUGCAAAUGCAUCACUGAGAGAUGGACCUGCGUUGUAUUAGCUAGUUGGUGAGGUAACGGCUCACCAAGGCGACGAUACAUAGCCGACCUGAGAGGGUGAUCGGCCACACUGGGACUGAGACACGGCCCAG
rnacentral:rRNA from 1 species